rnacentral:tRNA from 1 species
CUCACCUACUGGGGUAGCCCCACGCUAUCAAGCC